UACCUGAUUGAUUCUGUCAGCGCUAUAUGCUCAGUUAAAAGAUUAAGCCAUGCAUGUCUAAG
rnacentral:rRNA from 1 species